GUUGACCAGACUAGCCAUGCACGUCUAAGUACAAACUAAAUGAUGGUGAAACUGCAAAUGGGCUCAUUACAACGGUUAUGAUGUACCCGGGAGUUCCGAUGGAUAUUUCCAGUAACACUAGAACUAAUACAUGUCCCUGCGUUUAUUAGUUUCGCACAGUCCGUCGCUGAGUCAUGGUAAACAGUUGAUCGACUCGACGUCCCGGAACAGUUUCCGCCCCAUCAGCUUCGAUGGUUGGGUAUUGGCCUACCAUUGCAACAACGGGUAACGAGGAAUUAGGGUUUGAUUUCGGAGAGGGAGCCUGAGAAACGGCUACCACAUCUACGGAUGGCAGCAGGCGCGCAAAUUACCCAAUGCAGACACUGUGAGGUAGUGACGAGAAAUAAUAAAGCGGGACUUCUGUUUCGCUAUUAUAAUGAGGAAUAACCAAAGGUCAUUCCGAUUAGCAACUAAUGGGAAAGUCUGGUGCCAGCAGCCGCGGUAAUACCAGCGUCAGUAGC
rnacentral:rRNA from 1 species